GGCAAGGAGCCUAAGAAAGACUCCUGAAGGGGUAUGGGCUGACAUGCUUCCUGGGCUAUGUGUAAGUACUCAAUUAUUAUUAUUAUUAUUAUUAUUUUUGGAGUAGAAAAAGAUUUAUUGCACACCUUGCAAGGAGGUGGGUGGCUCAGUCCCUAAAAAAACAUGGGCUUCCCAAAGGGUUUUGACAAAGCAUUUUUAAAAGCCAGGUCAGCACUCAAUUAUUAAGGUUCUCUUAUUUGGAGUUUAUAGUUUACCAAAAGAUUGCACUUGCAUAUUCUAGUUUAUCCUACUGACAGUCUCAUGAGGUAUGUAUAAUUGUCCUUAUUUUACAGAUGAAGACACUGAGGCCCAGAGAUGAUCAGUGAUUUGCUCCAAGUCACUGUCUUGUAAUUGACUCAUUUGAUUUGUGCAGUUUCCAAACUACUCCAUCUGGACCAGACAGCCAGGGGGAGCCUCCCUCACAGGGAAGGACCAGGGCAUCGAUCCCACCUGCUGGGCUCCCUCAGGGCCUGUGUGUUUUCUAAUGAGCUCUAAAAUGGAAGCAGUGUGUUCCAAGGACAGGACUCAAUGAAGAAGGUCCUUUGGACCAAAGAAAUUGACAAGAGGUGGAGGAUUUAGAUUCAAUGAACCUUCACUGAUAGCCUACCAUGGACCCAACACUA